CAGUAGCCACGGUAAUACGAAGGGUGCAAGCGUUAAUCGGAAUUACUGGGCGUAAAGCGUGCGCAGGCGGUUUGUUAAGACAGAUGUGAAAUCCCCGGGCUCAACCUGGGAACUGCAUUUGUGACUGGCAAGCUAGAGUGUGGCAGAGGGGGGUGGAAUUCCGCGUGUAGCAGUGAAAUGCGUAGAUAUGCGGAGGAACACCGAUGGCGAAGGCAGCCCCCUGGGCCAACACUGACGCUCAUGCACGUAAGCGUGGGGAGCAAACAGGAUUAGAUACCCCCGUAGUCCCUGUCUCUUAUAC
rnacentral:rRNA from 1 species